GGUUCCCAUAUGCUCACCAAAGUUAAGCUAUGUCAAGCCUGGUCAGUACCUAGAUGGAUGACCGCUUGGGAAUACAAAGUGCUGUAAG